GAUGAACGCUGGCGGCGUGCCUAACACAUGCAAGUCGAGCGUGAACCCUGCGAAUGAAACUUCGGUCGAUUUUGCAGGGGGAAAGCGGCGGACGGGUGAGUAACGCGUAGGUAACCUGCCCCAUACUGAGGGAUAGCCUCGGGAAACCGGGAUUAAUACCUCAUAACACCGUAUAUUCGCAUGGAUGUGCGGUCAAAGAUUUAUCGGUAUGGGAUGGGCCUGCGUCUGAUUAGCUGGUUGGUGGGGUAACGGCCUACCAAGGCGACGAUCAGUAGCCGACCUGAGAGGGUGAUCGGCCACAUUGGAACUGAGACACGGUCCAGACUCCUACGGGAGGCAGCAGUGGGGAAUAUUGGGCAAUGGGCGCAAGCCUGACCCAGCAACGCCGCGUGAGGGAAGAAGGUCUUCGGAUUGUAAACCUCUGUCCUUGGGGACGAAAAAAUGACGGUACCCAAGGAGGAAGCUCCGGCUAACUACGUG
rnacentral:rRNA from 1 species